AGAAGAUAUAUUUGAUCAAGUUAUGGAUAAAGGCUAUUAAGUGAAAAUAGAUGUAAAAAUUUAAAUAGGGGAUUCGUUUAAAAAACAGAUUUUUGUAUUUUCAGUGUAAAGAAUUAUUAAAAUUAUUGGGGGUAAUUUUAGUUAAUUUAGGAUUCAUUGAGGAGAAGAAAAAUGUGCCAGCAUUCGCGGUUAUACAUUGUCCUUGAGUGUUUAAUAUUAAAAGGAAGAAUAGUGUUAAUUAAUUGAUUUAUUUUAAUGGGGGUGAAAUAAAUUAAUAUAGAAUUAGACAUGAGUUCUUUAAAAUUUUGAUAAGAAACUAGGAUUAGAUACCCUAUUAUUCAAAAUUAAACUUUUACUUUUUAUUAUUUUAGUAACAUAAAAAAUUAAAUUGAUUUGGCGGUUUAUUAAACUUUUUAGAGGAAUCUGUGUAUUAAAUUGAUAAACCACGAUUAAUAAUAUCUUAAUUUUCUUGUAUAUCUCUAUAAUUUGAAUAUAUUUUAAGAUUAAUUUUCUUAAUUUUUAUAAAAAUUUAAUUUAGGUCAAGGUGCAGUUAUAUUGAGGUUAAUAUGGAUUACAAUUAUUAAAGUUAGUGAAUAUUCUAUUUAUUAAGGGUUGAAAUUGGAUUUAAAAGUAAAUUUAUUUUUUUAAAAUAAUUGAAUAAUGCUAUGAUUUAUGUACAUAUCGCCCGUCAUUCUCAUUUCGUGAGACAAGUCGUAACAAAGUAGAUGUAUUGGAAAAUGUAUCUAG
rnacentral:ncRNA from 1 species